rnacentral:rRNA from 1 species
UGGGGUUCCACCUCUUCCCAUUCCGAACAGAGAAGUUAAGCCCACCCACGCCGAUGGUACUGCGUAACAGUGGGAGAGUAGGUAGCCGCCGUUU